AACGGCUUCAAAUUGUGGACCGCACAACAUCCGGCUGAAGCAUUGCGCUUUGUACACACUCGACCUCACAACCGUCGGAGUACACCAGAAGUUCCAGGAGUCACGGAGUUCGAGAGUUAUACAUUCUGCUGAAAAGAGGUGGGGGCUGAAGGAGAUAUUAUAGAAAAUGUUUAUUUUUGCAAGCUUUGGUCCUCCCACCGUCGUGCAUCAUGAUGCGUGACGGUGAAAUGCAUUUACAGCAAAUGUUAAACUCGAGUUCGCAUGUAGCCUGGUUGCUACUACGAGGGCUAGCUUGUGGCUAGUUUAGCCAGCAUUAAAUAGUCCAUGCUAACGUGUGUUGUCAUGAAAGUAAAUAAGGGCCUGCUCUCUCUGUUGGAGCCAAGUUUAAAAGCUGCUAGUUAGGCUAUCCAAUUAAAUGAGAAAAUGAAGCCUAUUUUGAUGCCAGUACUGUUGUUUUUGUUUAUCCAGUGGUAUUUUUUCAUAAAAUUAAAUUUGUGUUUAACUGUAAUUGUCAUAGAUUGUGUUUUCACUAUGUGUGGUAGAAAUGGGACGCAUUAGUUGAAUUAUUCCAAUAGUAAUUUGUUAAUGCAUUAGCAGUGCUAUAGGAAAUGCUAAUAGUAAAAAUCUAAAAGUACUGGUAUCGACAUAUUUUUUACCAAGAGCAAAAGAUAUUCAUUAUGCAUUAUGUCCUGUUUCACAAGUUGCCAAUUGUUCUAAAAAAACAAAACAAUUUUAUAAUGGUUGAUCUACAAGUUCACACUGUUAUUAACAUUAUUAUUUUUCUACUUUCUUUUUUCCGUGUGUUUUCUUUCCAGCCAAAUUGAAUAUGGCCUCUAAUUAUUUGAAAGAGUGGCGGAGAAAAAGAGCUAGGGAGGAUGAUUUCAUGGAUGAAUUUUUGAAUUGGAUUCAAGGUAAGGAUUUAUCAGGUUUAGCAGUGGUUUUUAAGUAGGGUGGGGGCUAUUUUAAAAUAGUGCAACAGCAUAUGAUUUUGUGUUUAAAAGCCAAAGUUAAGCACCACACUCAUCAUCCAUUUAUUGUCUCGUUCUCGGAUUUUGCAGCGAGGAAGAGGGUUUAUUCCUACCCAAUGCCUGAGAAAAGUAAGAGUGGCGUAACUACAGUACAAAAUGUUAAGUAAUGUAUUCUAAUUAUUGAAUUGAAUGUUACUAAAUCAUAUCUUUUCACCAAGAGUUCCAGCGGGUGGUCGUGGAAACACUUUUGGAAAUCUGCGAUGAAUUGAAAUCGCUCAACCAGCAGGGGGACAUUGAAGAUGAGGGUGAGCAGAUACGUCAGUUGCCGUUAAGGACUUUGGAGGAGGCUCAGCGCUAGUUUUGGAAAUCAGUAGGCACCCCAGCAUAAAACGUGUACUGGUAAGUCAAAUAGAGAUGCUAAAAAUGAUAGAAAUCUAUACAUUAGACACUCUUGAUAAUUUGAUUAUAUCAUACAGAUAAAACAACUGUCACACCUUGGGGGGGAAGGACAUUAAGACCUGCACACGCAGGAUCCUGGAC